rnacentral:lncRNA from 10 species
GGUCCUAAAGUAGAUAAAACCUAAGUUGCAAUUCCGGUUUUCCUCAAAAUCUAAGACAUGUCACAAAAUAAUUUACUGCCUUUGUUGAUCUCGCUCCUGUAACAAGCUUCCUGCCUCACGUAUCUCCCGCCUUAAAGAGUUUAAAAGGCAAUCACCCAAAACCAACCGUGGCUACCCAUUCAAGACUGUUUCCACACUGUGGAAGCUUUGUACUUUCACUCUGCUCAAUAAAGCCUGCAGCUUUUUCUCACUCUCAGUCCAUGUCUCUUUCACUCACUGUGGUCAGCUUCCACACCAUUUCUUUGGUGUGGCUUGGCAAGAACCUCAGGUGUUACAUCUUGGCGAGCCAGACAGGAGACUCCAGAAAAGGGGUGAUUUUCCUGUACCAGUCCAAUGCCUCCAGAGGAAGAUCAUACAUUUGCCAUUUUACUGCUUAGUACGCAUGCUUGAGCCUGCUCGCCCAACUGCUGAGAUCUUAUUCAGAAACUGCUGAUCACCAACUCCAGCGUCAAAUGCUGAGAACCCAGUGGAGGAGUCCAAGACCUUAGGGGAUUGUGGAGCCGCUUGUCCAACACACAGCCCAUGGGCCACAUGUGGCUCAGGAUUGCUUUGAAUGCAGCCCAACACAAAUUCACAAACUUUCUUAAAACAUUAUGAGUUUUUUUGUGAUUUUUUUUUUUAGUAGCUCAUAAGCUAUGGUUAGUGGUAGUGUAUUUUAUGUGUGUGUCCCAAGACAAUUCUUCUUCCAGUGUGGCACAGGGAAGCCAAAAGAUUGUACACCCAUGAAUUAGAAAGAACAAGCAUCAGGAACUGAUUAAAUCAUUAUACAACAUAGGUAUGCAUUAAAACACAGCAUAAAAUUUUUUGUGUACCAUAAAUAUAUACAAUUGCAAUGCAUCAAUUAAAAUGAAUAAAUAAAAAUACAUAGGUGGCUGGAUGCUGUGACUUAUGCCUGUAAUGCUAGCACUUUGGGAGUCCGAGGUGGGCAGAUUACUUGAGCCCAGGAGUUCGAGAUCAUCCUUGGCAACAAGGCAAAACGCUAUCUCUACAAAAAAUAUAAAAAAUUAGCUGGG